ACGGGAGGCAGCAGUGGGGAAUAUUGCACAAUGGGCGCAAGCCUGAUGCAGCCAUGCCGCGUGUAUGAAGAAGGCCUUCGGGUUGUAAAGUACUUUCAGCAGUGAGGAAGGUAGUCGUGUUAAUAGCGCUAUUAUUUGACGUUAGCUGCAGAAGAAGCACCGGCUAACUCCGUGCCAGCAGCCGCGGUAAUACGGAGGGUGCGAGCGUUAAUCGGAAUUACUGGGCGUAAAGCGCAUGCAGGUGGAUGAUUAAGUCAGAUGUGAAAGCCCGGGGCUCAACCUCGGAAUAGCAUUUGAAACUGGUUAUCUAGAGUACUGUAGAGGGGGGUAGAAUUUCAGGUGUAGCGGUGAAAUGCGUAGAGAUCUGAAGGAAUACCGGUGGCGAAGGCGG
rnacentral:rRNA from 1 species